rnacentral:rRNA from 1 species
GACGAACGCUGGCGGCGUGCCUAAUACAUGCAAGUAGAACGCUGAAGAGAAGAGCUUGCUCUUCUUGGAUGAGUUGCGAACGGGUGAGUAACGCGUAGGUAACCUGCCUGGUAGCGGGGGAUAACUAUUGGAAACGAUAGCUAAUACCGCAUAAAAUUGAUUAUUGCAUGAUAAUUAAUUGAAAGAUGCAAUUGCAUCACUACCAGAUGGACCUGCGUUGUAUUAGCUAGUUGGUGAGGUAACGGCUCACCAAGGCGACGAUACAUAGCCGACCUGAGAGGGUGAUCGGCCACACUGGGACUGAGACACGGCCCAAACUCCUACGGGAGGCAGCAGUAGGGAAUCUUCGGCAAUGGGGGGAACCCUGACCGAGCAACGCCGCGUGAGUGAAGAAGGUUUUCGGAUCGUAAAGCUCUGUUGUAAGAGAAGAACGGGUGUGAGAGUGGAAAGUUCACACUGUGACGGUAUCUUACCAGAAAGGGACGGCUAACUACGUGCCAGCAGCCGCGGUAAUACGUAGGUCCCGAGCGUUGUCCGGAUUUAUUGGGCGCAAAGCGAGCGCAGGCGGUUAGAUAAGUCUGAAGUUAAAGGCUGUGGCUUAACCAUAGUAUGCUUUGGAAACUGUUUAACUUGAGUGCAGAAGGGGAGAGUGGAAUUCCAUGUGUAGCGGUGAAAUGCGUAGAUAUAUGGAGGAACACCGGUGGCGAAAGCGGCUCUCUGGUCUGUAACUGACGCUGAGGCUCGAAAGCGUGGGGAGCAAACAGGAUUAGAUACCCUGGUAGUCCACGCCGUAAACGAUGAGUGCUAGGUGUUAGGCCCUUUCCGGGGCUUAGUGCCGCAGCUAACGCAUUAAGCACUCCGCCUGGGGAGUACGACCGCAAGGUUGAAACUCAAAGGAAUUGACGGGGGCCCGCACAAGCGGUGGAGCAUGUGGUUUAAUUCGAAGCAACGCGAAGAACCUUACCAGGUCUUGACAUCCCGAUGCCCGCUCUAGAGAUAGAGUUUUACUUCGGUACAUCGGUGACAGGUGGUGCAUGGUUGUCGUCAGCUCGUGUCGUGAGAUGUUGGGUUAAGUCCCGCAACGAGCGCGACCCCUAUUGUUAGUUGCCAUCAUUCAGUUGGGCACUCUAGCGAGACUGCCGGUAAUAAACCGGAGGAAGGUGGGGAUGACGUCAAAUCAUCAUGCCCCUUAUGACCUGGGCUACACACGUGCUACAAUGGCUGGUACAACGAGUCGCAAGCCGGUGACGGCAAGCUAAUCUCUGAAAGCCAGUCUCAGUUCGGAUUGUAGGCUGCAACUCGCCUACAUGAAGUCGGAAUCGCUAGUAAUCGCGGAUCAGCACGCCGCGGUGAAUACGUUCCCGGGCCU